UAGAUAAAGAAACAGAAACUCAAAGAAGUAACCAGGUCUGUAAACCCCGCACUUUGAGAGGCUGAGGCAGAAGGGAUUGUUUGAAGCCAGGAGAUUGAGACCAGCCUGCACAAUAUAAGGAGACCUUGUCUCUGCAAAAAAUUUAAAAAACAAAAGAAACUCAAAGAGGAGGACAAAGACUCUCUCCAGUGAAGCCUUUCUCUUCUCCUCAGGCCUCUCCUUCCUGACUCAGCCUUGGUUUACCACUGAGAUUUGCCAUAUACCAUACAGAAGAACAAAAACGUUACCAAUUAUUGGCAGGUUUUUUUUGUUUUUUUGUUUUUUUUUUAACCAAACGUCAAGUUGGUGAUGAAGUUAUCUGGAAAUGUCAACCAAACCCAGAAGACUACACAAGACUACAGGAGAAGGCACUCUGGGUAACAGAUUCAAGUUUUCGCAUCAGUUUGUUCGAUGAAGGAUCACAACAUAGACAGUACGGCUUUCUUGCUUCCUCUUCGGAGGUUCCUUGUCUCCCACCUCCAGGACAGACAGGAGUCCUUGACAUCGUGGGAGAGGCAUUGUGGCAAUACUGCAUAGAAGGGAAACUGGGCUUCGGGCUGCGCCUCCUGAGAGUGGAUUGUCUGAGGUGCCAGCAGGACGUCCGUCAGAUUUCAGGUGGAGGAGAGAGAAAACGGCUUGUGACCUUGCAGGUUUCAAAAGAAGAGCAAACAAGAAGGGCAGAUAAGGAGACGCCAGUGAGAUUCUAUGGCCUGUCAUUAGGGAUGGGCUUCCCAGCUAUCAAAUGUUUGCUCACAUAAUAAAAUGGUGGCAGAGCCCAAAAUGUUGUCAAAAGAACUAGAGUUAUUUGCCUCCUUCAGAGUCUAAACACAAACAUCUGAUAAGGGGUGCACUGUGGUCCCUUAGAACUGGAGGCCCAGCACACGCAGCCCCACGGGGGCCUGGCCCAGAAGAUCUCUGAGAGACCGCGGGGCCCU
rnacentral:lncRNA from 10 species